rnacentral:lncRNA from 12 species
AUGACCGAGUGGGACCCUGGGCCGGCAGGUCGGCCACGCAGAACCAGGGAGCUCGCGAGGCCGGGCGAGCCCUGGGACGCCACCGACGCUGCCACCCUCCGGCCGCCCCAGCCUCUGAGGAUGGGACCUCGCAUGGGGUGGGGUGGGGUCUCGUCACGCAGAACGAGGAACCAGGAGGCCUCGUGGCCGGAGCGACCUCAGCUGCACCGGGCAAGUGGCUCCGGCCGAGGGCGCCAAGCCGGGCGGGUGGCCGUGAGGACGUGGGUGCAGCCUCAGUCCCGCCCAGAGGCCCGGUCCAGGCUGCACCGGGGCCCCGGGCAGGCCGCCCCGCGUGGGGGUGCCCGGUCCCGCCCCACCGCCGCAGACACUGGCUCCAGCUCCCCAGCUCCGCUUCAACACAGCGGGGAUCAGGGGCGCAGGUGCAGAGGCUCAGGCCCCAAAGUCCCAACUGGGCCUCACGACCCGGCUGCGAGGGCCCCGGGGGCUGCUGGCUGCAUCCGCUGGGGCAGGGGAGCUCACGGCAGGGGUUCGCGUGCCACCACGUGGGCUUGUCCGCCUGUGAGCGUGUGCGGGUGUGAGCGUGCACAGGAGUGUGUUUACGGUGAGCUGUUUGCUGGUCAGCCUUGCCCUUGGGGUCCAGGAAUUGAGCACAGGAACGUUGGGACCCGCCCAGAUGGAACCUUCUGGAGCCCGGGCACCCAGGGCCACCAUGCAAAGUUGCCGCCCCUCCCGCAAGAGUCGGGUCUUUCCUGGACAUCACGGGAGCCGUCGGGCGUGGGCAGAGGGCAGGUGGGGCGAGCGCACAUGUGCCGGGCACCCGACCCCCCGGAGGGCGAGGCUGGUCCAGGCCAGCAGCCCCGGGCCCCCCACACCCAGGAUGAGCUGCAGUCUCUGGGGGGACCCGCGGGGCUUCUGAGGGACCCGCCCUGCGCCCCGGGCAGCCUGCCCCUGCCGGCCACGCCGCUGCGCCACUGGAGCUCUUCUGUGGGCGUCGGGCGAUGCCACCUCUAG